UACGUAGGGUGCGAGCGUUGUCCGGAAUUACUGGGCGUAAAGAGCUCGUAGGUGGUUUGUCGCGUUGUUCGUGAAAACUCACAGCUUAACUGUGGGCGUGCGGGCGAUACGGGCAGACUGGAGUACUGCAGGGGAGACUGGAAUUCCUGGUGUAGCGGUGGAAUGCGCAGAUAUCAGGAGGAACACCGGUGGCGAAGGCGGUUCUCUGGGCCUUACCUGACGCUGGAGGAGCGAAAGCCGUGGGGAGCGAACAGG
rnacentral:rRNA from 1 species